UGGCCUUGUAGGCCUCGAAACGGGACAUGUC
rnacentral:sRNA from 1 species